rnacentral:lncRNA from 1 species
CUUCUCCAUAAUGAUUUCUGUGAGCGGAUGAAUGGCGACUCCCUUCCUCCUUGCUUCAUAAUGCCGUUGUCUUUUAGUAUUCUGAUGGUUAAUGCAUGGUGUCAUUGUUAUUUGAUUCGGUCUACUAUUUGAUGUUUGUAUGUAUUUAUUUAUUAACUAAGUUAUGGUGUUACACCAUAUCAUAUCCGGCUGAAAAAUCAAUUAUUUCCCUAAGUCCAACAGCAACCCUUUGUUUCAAUAAGUAACUCACAGUGCCACAGGCUAUAACUGUUGAAUCACGCUCCAUGCUAAAUUUCUCUGAAGUAACAACACGAGGUGUGUGCGUGUGUGUGUGUAACCAUGGGAAUCAUCAAGUAAAAACUAAAGUUUGUGAAGUUUGAGGUGUGUGACCUGUGUGUGACUUGUGUGUGCAGGCGGGGAGCGAUGGCCAGUGCAUCGGGACCUUCCCCUUCUCCCAGAGGCUCUUCAUGGUGCUGUGGCUCAAAGGAGUGACCUUCGACGUUACCACCGUGGACAUGACCAGCACACGGGCUGACGUGCGGCCGAUGUCCGAUCGCAAUCUUUGGGCAAUGUCUGUUUCCCAGGUAUGAUGUCCAGUGCAACACCUCGACCAGCAGCUGCUUCAACGAGACUAUGUUGUUCAAUGCGACUGAUUUUAUCCGACUUCAACGCCAGGGGUGUGUGCCCUCGACCGCUUGUGACCAGACAGAGGCCAGCGCCUUCCUUGGAAUCGGUUACACCUUUUCCGUCGCCUGCUGCGGGACGGACCUGUGCAAUGGAGGGACGUCACGGUCACAACCAUACAGCGGAGGGACGUCGGUGCAGCUGUCGCUCGCUGCCGCGUUCGUUGCCGUUCUGGCGUCGCUCGUGGCUCGUUAGACGACACAUGGUGCUACGACGAUACUUUCUCAGCAGACAGUUAUGAAUAAAUCCAUGAUUCAUUAAAGAGACCGUAAUAAAUAUUUCGAUUUAAAUGUGUUGAUUUAAGUGUGCGGCUUGUCAGUUGUCAGGUCAUGGGUUUCAUAAAGUUGAAUGUUGUUAACUGGUUUAAAUAGGCCUAAUAUUGAAGAAUUAAAGGAUCAAAAAGUGUUUACCUGUGUCAAAUGAAUUGAAGUCUUCCAAUAAUCUGUAAUAAUCAUGAACUACAAUAUAUUUUAAGCACUGCCAUUCUUUCAGAGCGCAUUCUGAGUUGAAAGUUACAAUCACUGUAGGGUUUGGGGCGCAGGAUGCUAAAUCCCCAAACGGGACUCUCUAAAUCGACGCCACUUCGGCCUGGGCG